rnacentral:rRNA from 1 species
UACCAGCACCCCGAGUGGUCGGGACGUUUAUUGGGCCUAAAGCAUCCGUAGCCGGUUCUACAAGUCUUCCGUUAAAUCCAACUGCUUAACAGGUGGGCUGCGGAAGAUACUAUAGAGCUAGGAGGCGGGAGAGGCAAGCGGUACUCGAUGGGUAGGGGUAAAAUCAGUUGAUCCAUUGAAGACCACCAGUGGCGAAGGCGGCUUGCCAGAACGCGCUCGACGGUGAGGGAUGAAAGCUGGGGGAGCAAACCGG